rnacentral:rRNA from 1 species
UACGUAGGUGGCAAGCGUUGUCCGGAUUUACUGGGCGUAAAGAGCGCGCAGGCGGUCAGAUAAGUCGAAUGUGAAAGCCCCCCGGCUCAACUGGGGAGGGUCAUUCGAUACUGUUCGACUCGAAGGCAGGAGAGGGAAGUGGAAUUCCCGGUGUAGUGGUGAAAUGCGUAGAUAUCGGGAGGAACACCAGUGGCGAAGGCGACUUCCUGGCCUGUUCUUGACGCUGAGGCGCGAAAGCUAGGGUAGCAAACGGG